rnacentral:rRNA from 1 species
CCUAAUACAUGCAAGUCGAGCGGUAAGGCUUUCACAGUAUAUUUAACCAGAUAAGUUCUUCGGAAAACUGUUUGCAGCGAUGAUUCCCCGGCUAGGGAAUCAGAGUUGAAUAAUGCGUGAAAGUACACGAGCGGCGGACGGCUGAGUAACACGUAGGAACGUACCCCAAAGUGAGGGAUAAGCACCGGAAACGGUGUCUAAUACCGCAUGUGAUCUUCGGAUUAAAGCUUCGGCGCUUUGGGAACGGCCUGCGCAUGAUUAGCUUGUUGGUGAGGUAAAAGCUCACCAAGGCGACGAUCAUUAGCUGGUCUGAGAGGAUGAUCAGCCAGACUGGGACUGAGAACGGCCCAGACUCCUACGGGAGGCAGCAGUAGGGAAUUUCCACAAUGGACGAAAGUCUGAUGGAGCAACGCCGCGUGCAGGAUGAAGGGUUUCGGCUCGUAAACUGCUUUUAUCUGUGAAGAUUAUGACGGUAGCAGAUGAAUAAGGAUCGGCUAACUCCGUG